GAUGAACGCUGGCGGCGUGCUUAACACAUGCAAGUCGAACGAUGAAGCCCAGCUUGCUGGGUGGAUUAGUGGCGAACGGGUGAGUAACACGUGAGUAACCUGCCCUUGACUCUAGGAUAAGCCCGGGAAACUGGGUCUAAUACUGGAUAGGAACGUCUACCGCAUGGUGGGUGUUGGAAAGAAUUUCGGUCAUGGAUGGACUCGCGGCCUAUCAGCUUGUUGGUGAGGUAAUGGCUCACCAAGGCGACGACGGGUAGCCGGCCUGAGAGGGUGACCGGACACACUGGGACUGAGACACGGCCCAGACUCCUACGGGAGGCAGCAGUGGGGAAUAUUGCACAAUGGGCGAAAGCCUGAUGCAGCGACGCCGCGUGAGGGAUGACGGCCUUCGGGUUGUAAACCUCUUUCAGUAGGGAAGAAGCGAAAGUGACGGUACCUGCAGAAGAAGCACCGGCUAACUACGUG
rnacentral:rRNA from 1 species